rnacentral:rRNA from 1 species
UACGUAGGGGGCAAGCGUUGUCCGGAAUCAUUGGGCGUAAAGAGCGUGUAGGCGGCUCGGUAAGUCCGCUGUGAAAGUCCAGGGCUCAACCCUGGAAUGCCGGUGGAAACUGUCGAGCUAGGUGUCCGGAAGAGGCGAGUGGAAUUCCUGGUGUAGCGGUGAAAUGCGCAGAUAUCAGGAGGAACACCAAUGGCGAAGGCAGCUCGCUGGGACGGUACUGACGCUGAGACGCGAAAGCGUGGGGAGCAAACAGG